rnacentral:rRNA from 1 species
UGCAGGCUUAACACAUGCAAGUCGAGGGGCAUCAGGAAGUAAGCUUGCUUUCUUUGCUGGCGACCGGCGCACGGGUGAGUAACACGUAUCCAACCUGCCCUUUACUCGGGGAUAGCCUUUCGAAAGAAAGAUUAAUACCCGAUAGCAUAAUGAUUCCGCAUGGUUUCAUUAUUAAAGGAUUCCGGUAAAGGAUGGGGAUGCGUUCCAUUAGGUUGUUGGUGAGGUAACGGCUCACCAAGCCUUCGAUGGAUAGGGGUUCUGAGAGGAAGGUCCCCCACAUUGGAACUGAGACACGGUCCAAACUCCUACGGGAGGCAGCAGUGAGGAAUAUUGGUCAAUGGGCGCUAGCCUGAACCAGCCAAGUAGCGUGAAGGAUGAAGGCUCUAUGGGUCGUAAACUUCUUUUAUAUAAGAAUAAAGUGCAGUAUGUAUACUGUUUUGUAUGUAUUAUAUGAAUAAGGAUCGGCUAACUCCGUGCCAGCGGCCGCGGUAAUACGGAGGAUCCGAGCGUUAUCCGGAUUUAUUGGGUUUAAAGGGAGCGUAGGUGGACUGGUAAGUCAGUUGUGAAAGUUUGCGGCUCAACCGUAAAAUUGCAGUUGAUACUGUCAGUCUUGAGUACAGUAGAGGUGGGCGGAAUUCGUGGUGUAGCGGUGAAAUGCUUAGAUAUCACGAAGAACUCCGAUUGCGAAGGCAGCUCACUGGACUGCAACUGACACUGAUGCUCGAAAGUGUGGGUAUCAAACAGGAUUAGAUACCCUGGUAGUCCACACAGUAAACGAUGAAUACUCGCUGUUUGCGAUAUACAGUAAGCGGCCAAGCGAAAGCAUUAAGUAUUCCACCUGGGGAGUACGCCGGCAACGGUGAAACUCAAAGGAAUUGACGGGGGCCCGCACAAGCGGAGGAACAUGUGGUUUAAUUCGAUGAUACGCGAGGAACCUUACCCGGGCUUAAAUUGCAGUGGAAUGAUGUGGAAACAUGUCAGUGAGCAAUCACCGCUGUGAAGGUGCUGCAUGGUUGUCGUCAGCUCGUGCCGUGAGGUGUCGGCUUAAGUGCCAUAACGAGCGCAACCCUUAUCUUUAGUUACUAACAGGUCAUGCUGAGGACUCUAGAGAGACUGCCGUCGUAAGAUGUGAGGAAGGUGGGGAUGACGUCAAAUCAGCACGGCCCUUACGUCCGGGGCUACACACGUGUUACAAUGGGGGGUACAGAAGGCAGCUAGCGGGUGACCGUAUGCUAAUCCCAAAAGCCUCUCUCAGUUCGGAUCGAAGUCUGCAACCCGACUUCGUGAAGCUGGAUUCGCUAGUAAUCGCGCAUCAGCCACGGCGCGGUGAAUACGUUCCCGGGUCUUGUACACACCGCCCGUCACACCAUGGGAGUCAGUAACGCCCGAAGUCAGUGACCCAACCGUAAGGAGGGAGCUGCCGAAGGUGGGACCGAUAACUGG